UUCCCUACGGGAGGCGGCAGUAGGGAAUAUUGCUCAAUGGGGGAAACCCUGAAGCAGCGACGCCGCGUGUGGGAAGACGGUCCUCUGGAUUGUAAACCACUGUCCCCAGGGACGAAGAUGACGGUACCUGGGGAGGAGGCUCCGGCUAACUACGUGCCAGCAGCCGCGGUAAUACGGAGGGUGCAAGCGUUACUCGGAAUCACUGGGCGUAAAGAGCGCGUAGGCGGGAUAGCAAGUCAGAUGUGAAAUCCUAUGGCUUAACCAUAGAACUGCAUUUGAAACUGUUAUUCUAGAGUAUGGGAGAG
rnacentral:rRNA from 1 species